GCCCAACCGUAAACUUUAAAUUACACCCAUAUCGCCCGGGAACUACGAGCAAAGCUUAAAACCCAAAGGACUUGACGGUACCCCACAUCCACCUAGAGGAGCCUGUCCUACAAUCGAUACCCCCCGCUUAACCUCACCAUUUUUAGCCUAUCAGCCUGUAUACCUCCGUCGUCAGCUUACCACGUGAGCGACCCUUAGUGAGCUUGAUGCCCAUACGCCAACACGUCAGGUCAAGGUGCAGCAGAUAAAAUGGGAAGAGAUGGGCUACACUCUCUACUCUAGAAAACACGGAAGAUUAUUUAUGAAACCUAAUCAGAAGGCGGAUUUAGUAGUAAAAAGAGACAAUAGUGCUCUUUUUAACAUGGCACUGGGGUGUGUACACACCGCCCGUCACCCUCUUCAAAGCUAGUAUAAAGUCCCUGACACACUUAAGCAUUGCAGAAGAGGCAAGUCGUAACAUGGUAAGUAUACCGGAAGGUGUGCUUGGAAA
rnacentral:rRNA from 1 species